AGGGGCUUGCCCUUAAACAUGCAAGUCGAACGGUAACAGGGAGCUUGCUCCGCUGACGAGUGGCGAACGGGUGAGUAAUACAUCGGAACGUGCCCAGUAAUGGGGGAUAGCUCGGCGAAAGCCGGAUUAAUACCGCAUACGCCCUGAGGGGGAAAGUGGGGGACCGCAAGGCCUCACGUUAUUGGAGCGGCCGAUGGCUGAUUAGCUAGUUGGUAGGGUAAAGGCCUACCAAGGCGACGAUCAGUAGCUGGUCUGAGAGGACGAUCAGCCACACUGGGACUGAGACACGGCCCAGACUCCUACGGGAGGCAGCAGUGGGGAAUUUUGGACAAUGGGGGAAACCCUGAUCCAGCAAUGCCGCGUGUGCGAAGAAGGCCUUCGGGUUGUAAAGCACUUUUGUCAGGGAAGAAAUCCUUUGGGCUAAUACCCUAGGGGGAUGACGGUACCUGAAGAAUAAGCACCGGCUAACUACGUGCCAGCAGCCGCGGUAAUACGUAGGGUGCAAGCGUUAAUCGGAAUUACUGGGCGUAAAGCGUGCGCAGGCGGUUGUGUAAGACAGGUGUGAAAUCCCCGGGCUUAACCUGGGAAUUGCAUUUGUGACUGCACGACU
rnacentral:rRNA from 1 species